rnacentral:rRNA from 1 species
AGAGUUUGAUCAUGGCUCAGGAUGAGCGCUGGCGGCGUGCCUAAUACAUGCAAGUCGAGCGGAAAGGCUCCUUCGGGAGUACUCGAGCGGCGGACGGCUGAGUAACACGUAGGAACGUACCCCAAAGUGAGGGAUAACUGCUCGAAAGAGUAGCUAAUACCGCAUGUGAUCCACGGAUUAAAGCUUUAUGCGCUUUGGGAACGGCCUGCGUCCGAUUAGCUAGUUGGCGGGGUAAAAGCCCACCAAGGCGACGAUCGGUAGCUGGUCUGAGAGGACGAUCAGCCAGACUGGGACUGAGACACGGCCCAGACUCCUACGGGAGGCAGCAGUAGGGAAUUUUCCACAAUGGGCGAAAGCCUGAUGGAGCAACGCCGCGUGCAGGAUGAAGGCCUUCGGGUUGUAAACUGCUUUUGUUAGUGACGAUUAUGACGGUAGCUAACGAAUAAGGGUCUGCUAACUACGUGCCAGCAGCCGCGGUCAUACGUAGGACCCAAGCGUUAUCCGGGAUUACUGGGCGUAAAGAGUUGCGUAGGUGGCAGAGUAAGCAAAUAGUGAAAGCGUGUGGCUCAACCAUACAUCCAUUAUUUGAACUGCUCAGCUAGAGGACGAGAGAGGUAGAUGGAAUUCCUAAUGUAGGGGUAAUAUCCGUAGAUAUUAGGAGGAACACCGAUGGCGUAAGCAGUCUACUGGCUCGUUCCUGACACUAAUGCACGAAAGCGUG